rnacentral:rRNA from 1 species
UACGUAGGGUGCAAGCGUUGUCCGGAAUUAUUGGGCGUAAAGAGCUCGUAGGCGGUCUGUCGCGUCGGAUGUGAAAACCCAGGGCUCAACCCUGGGCCUGCAUUCGAUACGGGCAGACUAGAGUUCGGUAGGGGAGACUGGAAUUCCUGGUGUAGCGGUGAAAUGCGCAGAUAUCAGGAAGAACACCAAUGGCGAAGGCAGCUCGCUAGGACGGUACUGACGCUGAGGCGCGAAAGCGUGGGGAGCAAACAGG